CUUCAUCAUCUUCUUCUUCGUUUCUCUCAUGCCCCAAUCACUCUUCAACCACAUCGAUACUUUAACAUGUAGAUUCUUACGCUUUCGAAGAAUAUCUGAAUAUUCUUCAAAAAAUUGCAUUAUUUCUUUCUUUCGCUCAUAUUGGAAGGAGAGAGAAUAUGGGUUCUAUGAACGAUGAUGCACAGCUUAUGGAAGAGGGUCUUCUUCAGCUCCGCAAAUUGUAACGUUUAGGAUUUUGGAUGGAGGUGCUGUUAGUUUAUCUCAAAGACAGAGCUUGGUAAAGCCCGUCAACACUAAACCUCCAGCCUGCUUCCUCGCAUAAUACAAACUGUGGGGAUGCUAUGAUACUAAUAACUCUUUUCUCUGGUUGAUUGCGUUACUCUGUGGAGGUGGAGGUUGCUUCUCUGUUCAAAUGUUCCAUAAUUCGCAAUAUCCUGGUUUACAGGUAGAGUAUCUAGAGGUAUGGAACUUUGGUUAUGCAAACCUUCUUAUUUUAAUGGUUUUUUUUUGUUAUGCAAGCCUCUUCGGCCUCCUAUAUUUGUGUCUUAUAUUUUUUUUUUGUUAAUGCUUCAGUAUGUGAUGGUUUUGUCGAAUAGGAUAGUGCCUAUUGCAUUUGGUGGCACUGAAGAGCCAAUUGAUAUGGAGGAAAAGAAAAAAAACCAAUCACUUUCAUUUGGUUAUUGUCAGGAAAUAAGUCUAGUAAACUUUAUUUUAAUACAUUAAGCUGUGCAUGCGAGGCAUCCUUAUUCUUUGAUACAAAUUAGAGAUAUCUCAUAUUUAAUGCCAUUUGUUUAAUACAGGUACUAGAGAUUCAUCCCACUAGUAAAUGGACAAAGGGAAGGCCCUGGAAUUUCUGUUAGAGUUACUCCAUGAGUUUUAAUCUAAUACAUUCGAUUUUGGUUCUUGGUUUUAUUUGUAACAGAUAAACAUGCAAAAUAUAUGUAUAUAUAUAUAUAUAUACUACAGUCUUUUAUUGAACUUUUAAGGUGAUCCAUUAUGAUGAACAAAUUGUAUAGGACACUAAAGUAAUAACACAUUAGAUUUUAUGUUGCUGAUUAUUUUUGUUUCUUGUCUGUGUGUGGAUAUGGUGCAUGGGGACCUCAGCAACAACUUCAAGCACUCAUGAAAACGCUUAACAAAACAGAGCCGCAUUACAUUCGAUAUAUCAAGCCAAACUCUUUGAAUCGACCCCAACAGUUUGAGAAUACCAGCGUCAUACACCAGUUACGCUCUGAGGUCAGUAGUUUAGAUAUUCUAGCUCAUUUACUGUUAUCUUUCAACAGGAUUUGCCAACUAUAUUGAUGUCUUUCCUGUUUAUAUUGGUGAUUAUAGAACCGAUGAAGAUGCAUUCAAGGUAUCCCAUGAUCUUAACUGAUAUAUUUAUUUUUAAUUGUUAUUUCUCUAAAAAAUUAGUGCUCUGUUAAUUUGUAGACCAAGUAUAUUUGUUAGUUGAUUGUCAAUUGUUUUAUAAUAAGUAGGAAAUAAGACACAAGGGACAAAGGUUUUGGUAUUCUUGUCUGGAAAUUGGGUUUGUGUCCAUAUGAAGUCCACUAUGACUCUGGCUCAGAGUAAUUGAGAAGCUGAUAAAAUGUGUGUCACUUGCUAAAUGCUUGGCUUUUUUUUUUAUAUUCCUUUUCAGUUUCUUCUUCUUUUUCUUAAUUCUUCUUUUCAUACUGUUAAUGUCGAAGAAGCAUUCCAGUGAAUAGCAAAGAAUGCCUUGAAAAGUGGGGAAGAGGAAGAACUGUAAGUUCUUAAACAUGUGCACCUUUUUUUUCAUGCAUGUGAACAAGCCAAGGCAGCAUUAUUUAAUGGCUACCCUAGUGAUUGUGGAUCUUUUUGUUUAUUGGCAAUUGAAAUAUUGCAUUUCGUUUAAUUCUCCGUGUUGUUAUUUGAGUGUUGAAGAUACCUGCCGGACACAAUUGAUUUUGGAAACAACAAUCAGCAGCGGUCAACGGGAUAUUAUUUUGUGGCUGGACCCAGAGAUCCAGAAGUGGAAGACUUUCCAUAAUUGGGUUAAGUUUUGGAGGCUUCCAGGAGCUUAUUAUAGUCAAGGGUUAGGUACACAGGAGCAUAUAAGCAAUAUUGGUUCUCUAGUAGGCUACAACUUGGAGUGUCCCAGCAGGAGCGUGACAGGAUGUGCACAUUGAUUACGCAGUUACAAGGUACAGUUGCACAGCAAGAGGAAUGUCUCAUGGCUAUGAUGCAUAGGCGAAUGAAAAAAAUAGAGAAGCUUAUGCGGAGGCUUCUUGAGACAUUAUUAGAUAUUGAGGAUGAUGACAAAACUCAACCCCUGUAUGAGGACCUACGUGAUGACCACAAUCAUGCAAUUCAUCCACCAGCAUGACUUUUGUAUCUUGUUUGGAUGCAUAUGAGAUGGACUAUUGUAUAUUAUCUCCCUUUUGAUUAGUAUAUGUCUUGGACAUUU